rnacentral:rRNA from 1 species
GACAGAGGGUGCAAAUGUUGUUCGGAAUUACUGGGCGUAAAGCGUGUGUAGGCGGUCUCAUAAGUCGGAUGUGAAAGCCCCGGGCUCAACCCGGGAAGUGCAUUCGAAACUGCGAGGCUAGAGUAUCGGAGAGGUUGGUGGAAUUCUCGGUGUAGAGGUGAAAUGCGCAGAUAUCAGGAGGAACACCGGUGGCGAAGGCGGGUCUCUGGGCCGAUACUGACGCUGAGGAGCGAAAGCGUGGGGAGCGAACAGG